AUGGCCACAAGGUUGCCGCACCGCUGGAUGCUGGUCCUGCUGCUGUUCCAGCUCCGGCUGCUCCAGCCCUGCCUCGCUGCCACGCCGCCGGUGAUCACCACGAACGCCGUCACGAGCCUGCCUGGGUUCAGCGCCCCCCUGCCAUUCUCCCUCGAGACAGGGUACGUGGAGCUCGACGACGACGGCAUCCGCUUCUUCUACUACUUCAUCCAGUCGGAGCGCAGCCCGGCGGACGAUCCCGUGCUGCUCUGGCUGACGGGUGGGCCUGGAUGCUCCGCUCUCUCCGGCCUCGUCUACGAGGUCGGGCCUCUGGCUUUCGACUUCCAUGGCUACCGAGGAGGGUUGCCUACUCUGCUAUAUAGACGAGACUCUUGGACUCAGGUUAGCAACAUCAUCUUCGUGGAUUCUCCAGCAGGGACUGGCUUCACCUACGACCCCACAGACAACAAAUUGAUACCCAGUGAUACCAUUGUUGUUCGCCAGCUGCACACUUUCCUUGAAACGUGGUUUGAUGAGCACCCAAUGUUCUUGUCAAACCCGCUCUACAUUGCCGGCGAUUCAUACAGUGGCAUGAUCAUACCUUCUCUCACCAUUGAAAUUGCUAAAGGAAUUGAAUCCGGUGACCAGCGACUUUGUAACCUCAAGGGUUACAUUGCUGGUAAUCCAUUGACUGAAUUGGCACGGUUUGACGGCAAUUCUAAAUUUCCAUAUCUUCAAAGGAUGGGAUUUAUACCAGAUGAACUCUACAAGGUUGCUUUCGAGAGUUGUGGAGGGAAAUACAACAGCCCAUUGAAUGCUCUGUGUGCCAAGUCCGUCCAAUCAAUCCAUAAUCUCAUAAAGGAUUUAAAUGCUAUGCACAUUUUGGAGCCACGCUGUGAUACAUAUCCAAGCCUCAUUAUUCGCAAGGCGGCGUCUAAAGACAGAAGGAAACGGCUACUACAGUCUCCUGUUUCAUCUAUUUGUAGGAAUGCCACUUAUGUUCUUGCCGACUUGUGGGCAAAUGACGAAGCCGUGAGGGAGAGUUUGGGUAUUCGCAAGGGAACGGUUCCAUCAUGGAGAAGACAUGCCCAUUUCCCUUACAUACAAGACAUUAACAGUACAGUGGAGUACCAUUUAAGCUUGAUCACCAAAGGAUAUCGAGCCAUGGUAUACAGUGGAGAUCAUGAUAGUGAAAUAUCUUUGAUCGGCACGCAAGCAUGGAUAAGAUAUCUUAAUCUAUCCAUCACAGAUGAUUGGCGACCAUGGUAUGUUGACGACCAAGUUGCAGGAUACACAACAACUUACUCCGGCAACUUGACAUACGCAACUGUGAAGGGUGCUGGCCACACAGCUCCGGAGUACAUGCCCCGAGAGUGUCUAGCUAUGAUUGAUAGAUGGCUUUCUGGCGAACCUCUUUGA
rnacentral:rRNA from 1 species